rnacentral:hammerhead_ribozyme from 1 species
CUGACGAGUCCCAAAUAAGACGAAAUGCGCAUC